rnacentral:rRNA from 1 species
CACGUAGGGUGCGAGCGUUGUCCGGAAUUAUUGGGCGUAAAGAGCUCGUAGGCGGUGUGUCGCGUCGGCCGUGAAAACCUGCAGCUUAACUGUGGCUUGCGGUCGAUACGGGCAUCACUGGAGUUCGGCAGGGGAGACUGGAAUUCCUGGUGUAGCGGUGAAAUGCGCAGAUAUCAGGAGGAACACCGGUGGCGGAAGGCGGGUCU